CAAGUCUUGUGGGCUUUUGCUUCUCUGUACGAGCAACCUGGUCCCAUGCUUGAUGCACUUGAUAAUGUUUUUAGUGAUGGCAAUCAGUUCAAAUGCCGCUUGAAAGAUGAUAAAUUACUUCAUAGUAAAGAAAGAGCACCAGAUGGAACUGCAGAUGUUGAUUCUGGAGCAAUUAACUCUCCCGUGCUAAGUUUUAAUAGGGAUCAGCUAGGUAAUAUAUCAUGGUCUUAUGCUGUUCUUGGGCAGAUGAAUCGAGUUUUUUUCGCCAAAGUAUGGAAUGCUCUCAGCUAUUUUGAGGAGCAACGGAUAUCUGAGCAGUAUAGAGAAGACAUUAUGUUUGCUUCCCAAGUUCAUCUUGUGAACCAAUGUCUCAAGCUAGAGUACUCACAUCUUGACUUAUCCCUGAAAGGUGAAUUGGAGGAAAAAAUUUCCAGUGCUGGAAGGACAAAACGG
rnacentral:misc_RNA from 1 species